UACGUAGGGUGCAAGCGUUGUCCGGAAUUAUUGGGCGUAAAGAGCUCGUAGGCGGCUUGUCGCGUCGACCGUGAAAACCCGUGGCUCAACUACGGGCUGGCGGUCGAUACGGGCAGGCUGGAGUUCGGUAGGGGAGACUGGAAUUCCUGGUGUAGCGGUGAAAUGCGCAGAUAUCAGGAGGAACACCGGUGGCGAAGGCGGGUCUCUGGGCCGAUAUUGACGCUGAGGAGCGAAAGCCAGGGGAGCAAACGGG
rnacentral:rRNA from 1 species